rnacentral:tRNA from 1 species
CGGGUAUAGCUUAGGGGUAAAGCCCCAGCUUCCCAAGCUGGUCACGCGGGUUCGAUUCCCGCUACCC